GUGCUGGCUUCAGCAGCUCAGAUAUUAAAAUUUGAAAUGAUACAGAGAUUACCAUGGUCUCUGCACAAGGGUGACACGCAAAUUUGUGAAGUGUUCCAUAUUUUU
rnacentral:snRNA from 1 species